AAGCGUGCCUUCAUGCCCUGAGCCUCUUCUAGCCUUGGGCUUGUGCGAUGGUCAAUUUGUUUUGCCUCUUGAGUGGGCAAAAUGAUUAGUAUCAUCGUUUGUGGCCAAAUAAUGAGCCCUCGAUUCAUAUCGCGCUAAGGAACUAGAAUGAAAAAGAGCGCAUGUGAUGUUGCAAUCCCUUUCGCAGUGUGUUUGCAAGUGGCACCAUGACUCUUUUUGUCAUAAAAAACCAAAAUGACUCUCAGCAAUAGAUAUCUUAGGUCUCACAUUGAUGAAGAACAUAGCAAAAUGUUAUACUUGGUGAGAAUUGCAAAAUCCCAUGUGUAGAAAAAUUCUUGUAUUUUUGUUAGCAUUCACAAAAACAUUCAGCUAAAAAAUCAGUGUAGAAGAUUUUGUGGCCAUUUGAAAAAAAUGUCCCCAUUUCAGACACUUGAAUGGCUACUGACUGUGAACCAUAAAAGCUUUGAUGCUUGUUAAGGGGUUGUGAGUUAUUGAGAUUCAUUGGGGGAUAAAGGGCCAAUAUAAGGGCCAAGGACCAGCACUUAUCACAUAUCAUGUGUGCACACCCCCUGGCCCCCCACCUCUAAUCGUCAAAAGCUUCAUUGCUGUUGUUCAAUUUUUUGAUGAUGCUAUGGCGAUUAGAGUAUUGAUUAAUAGGGAUAGUCAAGGACAUUCGUAUUUCAUAGUCAAAUGUGAAAUUCUUAGAUUUAUGAAAGAUGAACAACUAUAAAAGCAUUUGCCAAGGAUGUUUUCAUUAAUCAAGAAUAAAAGUUGAAGGCUUAAAGAUGAUUAGAUAUUGUCUUAGUCUUAACCAUAAAUGAUGCUAAACAAUGGUCAAUGGGUGCUACAUUUAGGACUCCUCUGACAGCUUAUAAAAAAUUAAAGUCUUUGGGUUUCAGGUGGAGUAUGGUCAUAAGGCUGAAACUUAAAGGAAUUGAUGAAAGGGCACCACUAGUAGUGGAGCCUAUGGCUUAAUUUGACUCAACACAUGGAAACUUACCAAGUCUAGACAUACUAAGGAUUGAUAGAUUAAGAGCUCUUUUUUUAUUCUAUGGGUGGUAGUGCAUGGCCAUUCUUAGUUAGUGGAGCGAUUUGUUUGUUUAAUUCAAUUAAUGAACGAGACCUUAGCCUACUAACUAGCUAUGUGAAGGUGAACCUUUGUGGCUAGCUUCUUAGAAUGACUAUGGCUUUUUAGGCUAAAGAAGUUUGAGGCAAUAACAAGUCUAUGAUACCCUUAGAUAUUUUGGGCCCACACGCACAAUACACUAAUGUAUUCAAUGUCUCUAUAGACUUGGCUAAUAAGGCUAGGUAAUUUUUGAAAUUUCAUCAUGAUAAGGAUAGAUCAUUGCCAUUGUUGGUCUUCAAUGAGGAAUUCCUAGUAAGCGUGAGUCAUCAGCUUGCAUUAACUACAUCCCUACCCUUUGUACACAUCACCUAUCACUCUUACCAAUUGAAUGGUCCAUGAAAUGUUCAAAUUAUGGCAACGUGGAUGGUUUGUUGCCUAUGACAUCAUGAAAAGUCCACUAAACUUUAUCAUUUAGAGGAAGGAGAAGUCAUAACAAGGUUUUCAUAGGUGAACUUGUGGAAAG
rnacentral:rRNA from 1 species